UACGGGAGGCAGCAGUGGGGAAUAUUGGACAAUGGGCGAAAGCCUGAUCCAGCAAUGCCGCGUGAGUGAUGAAGGCCUUAGGGUUGUAAAGCUCUUUUACCCGGGAUGAUAAUGACAGUACCGGGAGAAUAAGCUCCGGCUAACUCCGUGCCAGCAGCCGCGGUAAUACGGAGGGAGCUAGCGUUGUUCGGAAUUACUGGGCGUAAAGCGCACGUAGGCGGCUUUGUAAGUUAGAGGUGAAAGCCUGGAGCUCAACUCCAGAACUGCCUUUAAGACUGCAUCGCUUGAAUCCAGGAGAGGUGAGUGGAAUUCCGAGUGUAGAGGUGAAAUUCGUAGAUAUUCGGAAGAACACCAGUGGCGAAGGCGGCUCACUGGACUGGUAUUGACGCUGAGGUGCGAAAGCGUGGGGAGCAAACAGGGAUUAGAUACC
rnacentral:rRNA from 1 species